CCCUUAGAUGUUCUGGGCCGCACGCGCGCUACACUGAUGCAUUCAACGAGCCUAUCCUUGACCGACAGGUCCGGGUAAUCUUUGAAUCUGCAUCGUGACGGGGAUAGAUUAUUGCAAUUAUUAAUCUUCAACGAGGAAUGCCUAGUAGGCGCAAGUCAUCAGCUUGCGUCGAUUACGUCCCUGCCCUUUGUACACACCGCCCGUCGCUCCUACCGAUUGGGUGUGCUGGUGAAUAAUUCGGACUGCAGCAGUGCUUGGUCCUCCGGGCUUUGCAGCGGAAAGUUUAGUGAACCUUAUCACUUAGAGGAAGGAGAAGUCGUAACA
rnacentral:rRNA from 1 species